rnacentral:lncRNA from 1 species
UUGAUCCAGAGCAGAGUUUCUCUCCUCAACACUCUCAGUUUAUAGAUAGAUCGUGCACCAACCACAAACCCCUGCGAUUGGCAUCCGUAUUUUAGAGGAUCUGCUGAUCAUCAAACAAUUUUGUAGCGUACCUGUAAAUGAGCAACUGUACAGAAAAUUAGUGAAAAGAAAGUUAAAAUUUUUUGUCAAUUUCCUGCUGUCAAAUUCACUGCUUAUGAAUUCCCAUUGUGCUGUUAUGUUGUGAUGUUUGGACGAUUCAGUUAUCUUAAUUUUUUUUCACCAAAGAGUACCCAGAAGAUGCUCAUCAUUAUUGACGUUUUAAAGGAGCAGUUUGUUGUUCAAGUUGAUCUUUGAAAUGUUUUACUAUCAGAUAGGCAUGUGAUACAGAUGCCAUGUGUUGGCCCAGCAACAAGCAAAGGAUCCUCGUGCAGUGGAUCUUGCUGCCCAAAUCGAAAACAAGUCAGCUCCAACACGCGAGGUUGAGCGUGUAAGUAGCAUGAAUUGUGCUUAAUAGGGCAUCUACUCAAAUUAAGAAUUGCAUAGCAGCUCCAUAACACGCUUGUCAUCGUAAUAAUUGGUUAGCAAUCCACUAAAAAAUAAUUUCAGGGCAUGCAAUCAUGUAAGGAUCUACCGGUGAAGUGAACUAACCUGUUGAUUGUUGCUGCCAGUAGCUGGAACAUGACAAUGUGAUAGCUCAUUGGUAGGAUAGAUGAUGCACUAAAAAAUUGAACAACACAUGGUAGAUGAAGGAAACAGAUUCCAUAUGCUGGGCAAUUGAAAUGGCAUAACUCUAUG